rnacentral:sRNA from 1 species
AUAUGAGGGCGAUCUGGCUGUGGCACCUGUCAUCCCAUUGAUCGCCAGGGUUGAUUUGGUUGCUCUGGUUGGCAAGGCAGCUGUCCCCUUCCUCCCUCACUGCU